CAGGGCCCCGCUGGCCCCGAAGGCCUGGACGGCAAGGACGGCAAGCCGGGUCUGCGGGGUGACCCCGGUCCCCCCGGGCCACCAGGGAUGAUGGGUCCCCCGGGCUUCAAGGGCAAGACGGGACACCCGGGGCUGCCGGGACCGAAGGGUGACUGCGGCAAACCCGGCCCCCCGGGGAGCACGGGCCGGCCGGGGGCGGAGGUGAGUGACCCCUGGGGUGAGUGAC